rnacentral:rRNA from 1 species
UACGAGUGCCCCAAGCGUUAUCCGGAAUUAUUGGGCGUAAAGGGUGUGUAGGUGGUCUUGUUAGUCUUCUGUGAAAUUCUUCGGCUUAACCGUGGGUCCGCAGGGGAAACGGCAGGACUAGAGGAUGCGAGAGGUGUGCGGAACUCAUGGUGUAGGGGUGAAACCCGUUGAUAUCAUGGGGAACACCGAAAGCGAAGGCAGCACACUGGCGCACUCCUGACACUGAAACACGAAAGCGUGGGUAGCGAAUGGG